rnacentral:lncRNA from 1 species
AAAACAUUUAACACAAUAGCAAGCACGUAAUGGAUGUUACCUGUUUUUGAAUUCUCAUUUUGUUUCUCUUUUGUUUUUACAGAUGUGCCUGAGGAAGGCUGACCUUUACCACCGGACAGUGUCGUCUCCUGUGACAUGUUUUCCAGUCAAACCGAAGUCCACCGCAGUUUGCAGCUACUUGGAGGUCUGGCUCCUGGUGUGGUUACAUUUAUACAGCUUCAUAAUUGAGUGAACAACAGUUGUGUGCUGGCCCCAGGAUACUAAUUAGACCUGCUGCCUGACUCUCAGAACAUAAGGCCCAACACCUCAGAAACCUGCCUGUGU